rnacentral:rRNA from 1 species
GACGUAGGGGGCAAGCGUUGUCCGGAUUUACUGGGCGUAAAGAGCGCGUAGGCGGUCUGUUAAGUGUAGAGUGAAAGCUCCGGGCUCAACCCGGAAACCGCUCUGCAUACUGGCAGACUGGAGGGACGCAGAGGUCUGUGGAAUUCCUGGUGUAACGGUGAAAUGUGUUGAUAUCAGGAGGAACACCCAUGGCGAAGGCAGCAGACUGGGCGUUUCCUGACGCUGAGGCGCGAAAGCGUGGGUAGCAAACAGG